rnacentral:rRNA from 1 species
AGUGAACGCUAGCGGUGUGCCUAACACAUGCAAGUUGUGCGGGAUUCUGCAGAGUAUCGCAGAGUUUAGCGGCAAACGGGUGAGUAACACGUAGGAAACCUCCCUCAGAAUGGGGAAUAUUUCCGAGAAAUCGGAGCCAAUACCGCAUAAGACCACAGUUUGGCAUCAAAUAGUGGUUAAAGCAGCAAUGCGUUUUGAGAUGGUCCUGCGUCCUAUCAGCUAGUUGGCAGGGUAACGGCCCGCCAAGGCUAUGACGGGUAUCCGUCCUUAAAGGGUGAACGGACACACUGGAACUGAGACACGGUCCAGACUCCUAUGGGAGGCAGCAGUGGGGAAUUUUGGACAAUGGGGGAAACCCUGAUCCAGCGACACCGCGUGGAGGAUGAAGGCCUUCGGGUUGUAAACUCCUUUUAGAGGGGAAGAAAUAAAUGACAUUACCCUCAGAAAAAGCCACG